AUUGAACAGAAAAUCGUAUUGAACAGAAAAUCGUAAAAAUAUCGAGUGCUGAUAUAGGACAAGAUGCAGAUACCAUCGAUGUUGGACAGUGGAUCCAUUUCAACGGUCGUAGUUACGAGUAUGGCCAGACGCGACAGCCGGCUCCUUGAGUUUUCAGCUGCGCAACCGAUCAAUUAUCAGCAAUAUAACCGGGACUAAGUUGACUAACAAAACCAGAACAGCCAAACCAGCAGGAUUAUUACCGGUGAGAACAUUUUCGGAAGCUGAUACUUCCGGAAGUUGCCGAACGUUACAACCUGGGAAAACAUUCAAUCAACGCCCACAGUGUUUAAGAAAAAAUGUUAAAUAGUUGGUAAGGAAAAGUAGUGAAUAAUAAAACUGAAAAUUGAA